rnacentral:rRNA from 2 species
GUAGGGAAUAUUGCACAAUGGGCGAAAGCCUGAUGCAGCAACGCCGCGUGCGCGAAGAAGGCCUUCGGGUUGUAAAGCGCUUUUCUGGGAGAUGAGGAAGGACAGUAUCCCAGGAAUAAGGCUCGGCUAACUACGUGCCAGCAGCCGCGGUAAAACGUAGGAGCCAAGCGUUAUCCGAAUUCACUGGGCGUAAAGCGCGUGCAGGCGGCCUGAUAAGUUGGAUGUGAAAUCUCCUGGCUCAACUGGGAGAGGCCGUUCAAUACUGUUGGGCUAGAGGGCGACAGAGGGAGGUGGAAUUCCGGGUGUAGUGGUGAAAUGCGUAGAUAUCCGGAGGAACACCAGAGGCGAAGGCGACCUCCUGGGUCGCACCUGACGCUCAGACGCGAAAGCUAGGGGAGCGAACGGGAUUAGAAACCCUAGUAGUCC